rnacentral:lncRNA from 1 species
AUAGCUGCCUCUGCCUUUGCCGGUGCAGUGAGAGCAGCUUCAGGAAUCUUAUGGCCUCUGAAUAUUUUGGCAUCUUCAGCCUACCAAAACUGUGUCAAAAAUGCCUCUCUUAUUUCUGCAUUGUCCACUGGACGUUUUAGUCAUAUUCAGACACCAGUUGUUUCCUCCACUCCCAGACUUACCACAUCUGAGAGAAACCUGACAUGUGGGCAUACUUCAGCGAUCCUUAAUAGAGUGGCCCUCUUGCUUCCAAGUGUCUUGAAGCUGCCAGCCAGAUCUCUAACAUACGUCAGUACAGGAAAAGGCAAGAGAAGGAUUGUGAAAGCUGUCAUCUAUAGGUUUCUUCGACUUCAUUGUGGCCUUU